UUAACACAUGCAAGUCGAGCGCCCCGCAAGGGGAGCGGGCAGACGGGUGAGUAACGCCGUGGGACCCGUACCCUUUACUACGGAAUAACGCAGGGAAACUUGUGCUUAAUACCGUAUGUGCCCUUUGGGGGAAAGAUUUAUCGGUAAAGGAUCNGGCCCCGCGUUGGAUUAGCUAGUUGGUGGGGUAAAGGCCUACCAAGGCGACGAUCCAUAGCUGGUCUGAGAGGAUGAUCAGCCACAUUGGGACUGAGACACGGCCCAAACUCCUACGGGAGGCAGCAGUGGGGAAUAUUGGACANUGGGCGCAAGCCUGAUCCAGCCAUGCCGNGUGAGUGAUGAAGGCCCUAGGGUUGUAAAGCUCUUUCACCGGANAAGAUANUGACGGUNUCCGGANAAAAAACCCCGGNUANCUUUGUGCCAGCAGCCGNGGUANUACAAANGGGGCUUAGCGUUGUCGGNANUUACUGGGCGUAAAGCCCACGUAGGCGGAUCGAUCAGUCAGGGGUNAAAUCCCNAGGCUNACCCUGNAACUGCCUUGAUACUGNCGAUCUGGAGUUUGNAANAGNGAGGGNAUUCCCGAGUGUAGAGGGNAAUUCGUAAUUUNCGGAGAACACCAAGGGNGGANGGGGCUCANUGGCCAUUACUGACCCUGAGGGGCAAAAGCGNGGGGACAAACAGGAUUAAAUCCCCUGGUAGNCCACNCGUNAACA
rnacentral:rRNA from 1 species